UAGAGAGGUCAUUGGUGGGAGGUGAACGAAAAUCCUAAGUGUCCUAAGUGUGGAGGCUAACUUGGUCUAGCAAGGAGGAGAGGAGUUGCUCUCUUUGAAGAAGAGUUUAAGGUGUUUUAGUCUUCAUGAGAAACUAUUUCAGAUGAAUUAGCAGAUGGUUCUGGACUUGCUUAGAAGAUGAGAGAUCUGUGGGGAAAAAGAGACAUGGGAAAUUUCUAAAUAAAUAUGUUUGAAAUUUCAAACUGUGUGGAAUUUUAAAUUUCAAAAGUUUAUGAACUGUGUGAAAUUUUAUUUUAGAAGACUUGUGUUGUAAUAAAG
rnacentral:sRNA from 1 species